UUCUUGAAAGGAAGGAAAGAAAGACAGCUGCCAGUAGGAUGCUGGGUGUCGGGUAAAACGUUCGCAUGCCCAUGGGAGUGUGUCCCCGGUGGGCAUCAUCCAUCAUCUGGGUCAUGGCAGAAAAGACAUUGAGAACCUUCCAUCUCCUAGCUUCAGGAAAGACCCAGUGAAUCCAUUACAUUCGAAAGAACAUUGAUCUUUGUACCAUCCUCCAGAGAGAAAUCUCCAGCCCUAUCUGGUGUCAAACAACCCUUGAGAAAGCGCACAGUUUGGAAAAGAAGUCUAUGCUGCAUCGCUGGAGCGUCGGCCCGGAAGUCGGGGCACCUGCGGUUCCAGGUCGGGCGCCACCACCCACGAGCUGUGAGACCCGGUGCAGGAAAAAAUGAACUGGAUCAUGGAAGAGAGAGCAACUUGUGAUAAAGGCGUAAAGAGCAGCCCUGGGCACAGCUGGUAAGAAGCCAGCCAGCAAGAAGAACAUUCUGCGCAAAGGACACAGGUUAGGCAACUCCAGACGAUAGUACCAAGGAAACCACACCAUGUAGCAGAAAAAGCAUCAAGUUCUAGGUUCAAGCUUUGUCACUCAUGCUGGUCCAGAGGUACCCACGUGCUCAUCCAUAACGUGGAGGCAAAGAUAAUAAUUAAUAGAACUGCUGUGCAAGUCAAAUGAGAUAUAUAAAGCACCUGGCAUGAGAUGGGAACUCUCUAAAGGGUGAAUAUUGUUAUUUUUAUCAUCCUUAAUACAGCUCAGUGUCAAAGCUCUCUCUGUAAGAAUGAUGAUGAGCCACUCCGGCCCCGCAAGAAAUCACCUGAGAGAGUUUCUGUCCGUGUAAAUCUUACAAGUACCCCUUAAUGAGUUUCGCUGUUUUGCUUAAAGGACUUAUCUCCUUGUUCAAGGUGUGUUGACAUUUAAAGGGGUUUUGAAAGUGGUGAGGUCCAUUCCACUUAAAGGCUGGCUUUAGCUUACAUUUUUGCUCUUGGUAGCCACAGUGGUCAUCCACUGCAAGGUUCCAAGCUCCUUUCAUACCAGUUUUCCUUCUUUUGGUGCUUUUAUUUACUUGCUUAUCCAAUCUGCAGUUUCUACACAAUUUUCCCGAGUUCCUUCCCCUAUGCCUCAAAUCAAACAAUGGCUGGGCUCGGGGAUCAGAGGGAGAGAAAGUUGUUCUUGCAAGAACACCUCCUUGUUUCAAGGGACUUAUCUUAUGUUUCGAAGCCAAAAAAGAAACAGUCUGAAGAAAGCUGGAUCUGCUAAAGAGGCAAAACUAAUCACUAAUCUCUACCUCACUUAUUCCUUGUGUUUCCCUUUGUGCUUAGUAUUGCGUAAUGGGGAUGGUAGCUCUCCUCCUUUUAAAACCUGAGAAUGUCACUUCUUCCACCUCGUGAGAAACAAGUUUUUAACAACACUAGUGCCUUUAUCCCAGAGAGGCUGGUUCGUGACACUGUGUUUACCACCUUUUAGAGGAGAAGCUUCUUGCUUUCCACUGUGUUUCAGGUAAUUUUAGAAAACAAGACUACUGCCUUGCAACAUGCCAGGUAAACAGCAGUUUCCGUUUCAAGGGGAAAUCAUACUUGACCAUCUUGCCUCCUUGAUUCCACUAGAUUAGGAAACAAGCAGAGAUAAACACAGCUUUCGUGGAGUUGGUUGUACGCUAAGGAAAGGAACAACUGGGCCUUUUAAGAUAAAUGGAACUGACAAAGAGUGCAUUCUGCAAAAAAUAAACACAGCUAUAGGAGAGUUACUCUGAACACCGAUAUCUGCAAAUGAUAGUUAAGUAAUUUUGAUGCAACGGUCUUUUUCUCAAGAUUUGAAAUAAAAUCUUUCCCCCUACCCCCCCCCCCCAAACCAUUUAACUAAGCUUUUCGUCGUCUGAUAAAAAUCAUGUUGUCAGAAAUGACAGAACUAAUUUGUGACUUUUUCUCAAAUCAAUUUUGAUGUAAUGCAAGAUUAAAUGAAUAGCUUCCCUUUUCUCCCCUACGUGAAUUAGAACAAAUUGUACUGUUCACUGUGUCCUGUCACACAGACUGGCUUGACAGAAACCUCCGGAUUUUAUUGCAAGAUUUGGAGAAUAAUUAUUAGAGAUCCAUUUUCCCUCAGUGUUUGUUGGGUUCGCAAAGGAUAACUGAUGAGUUCUCAUUGUAGGAUGAGAAUGUCUGACAUGAUGUUUGGGACGGCUUUACGGUCUAGUCUAGAACUCUCGGACCUUCUCAGGAUCCUCCCAUUUUUGCUUUGACUGUAUUACCUGGGGUGAUAAGAACUCAAGUCUCCCAGUUAAUGUCCCUUCCACUCAGUGGUGAAAUUGGAGAGGGGGAAAUCACGCAAACCAUCCUUCUGGUGAUUUGUGCUCGCGGCAAUUCACACUUACAGCCCUCUGCCAAUUACACCCGUGUUGUAACUUCUGACACUUACACGGGGUGUUUCUCACAUGAACAUAUGUUGUUCUCCUCUUUGGAGGAAAUGAAUCCCAACCUUUUGCACACUAGCAGGCCACGAUUCGUUCUAAUCCCAAGGUUUUAUGACAGGAAAAUUGACUAUAAGAAAACAAGGGAAUUGACCAUAAGGACACUGAGUUCGUUUUCUCUGGGGCAUCAGAUCACUGCCCCAAAAUUUCUUUCAAUGCGCUGGUCAAAACGUCCUCAAGGAAAUCAUCUUGAAAUCCAUCAAACAAAUAAACCUGCUCCUUAGAGUUGUUUUGCUUCAGUAUAACAUUUGGCAGGAAAAUGUGGUCAAGGAGAGUGCAUCAUAUUAAAUGGAUUUUAUGUUUAUUGACUACUUGUAGCACCACUUAAUUGAUUUAUGCAUGCUUUAGAAAGCUUUAUGCUCUGAAACAUAUAAUAUAUCAUUUAUAGUUUUUUAUUAAGUCCUGCAUUUGGUAAAAGUUGGCAUAAGGCCCUAGGUCAGGAACUUUACCCUUUGGUUAUAGCACUGUUUCUAUGAGAAAAUAAUGUUUGAUGCACUUUCUUUCCACUUAUGGUAAGUCUCCUAGUAAUCUAAUCCACAUGUAAACGCCACUUGUACUCCCAAGUGCUACUCACUGUCAUAUUCCCACUGUGUUUGAAGGAAGUUUUUCUAUGUUCUUUUGUGACUCUGAGUUGAAAUAACAAAU